AUGGAACAACAACAAGUCAAGCCAUCUCUUCCCCCGUCUGAUGCUCCUAUGGAUAACCAGGAUUCAUCUCCACUUCCUGCCGUUACUACUGCUGAUCCUGUUCCACGUGCUCUUUCAAAUGAUUCUGCAACACAGGCUGCCAGUCCAAAUCCUGUUGCCCCUUCAUCUCCUUCUGCUCCAACUUCUGCCACCACACAAGAUGCUGCAGGACGCGAGUCACCAUCAUCCAUGUUUUCUACAUCAGGCUUAUCUUCCUGGGCGAAAAAUCUGAAAAUCCCUCAGCCUUCUUCAGGUCAAGAAUCACCACCAGGUAAAAAUACCGUUUCCCGUCUUGCUAGUGGCCUUGGAUUGCGGCUGUCUCCAAAAUACCCACAGCAAGAUGAGAGUGCUGAAGGCAGCACAACCCCAACUACGGCACAAGCUGGUGUUUUUGGUUCCUUGACAAGAGGCAUUGUGGAUUCCUCUAAGAAUGCUGUUAAGGCAGUGCAAGUUAAGGCUCGCCACAUGGUCUCACAGAAUAAGAGACGAUAUCAGGAAGGAGGAUUUGAUUUAGACAUGACAUAUAUUACAGAGAACAUAAUUGCUAUGGGUUUUCCUGCCGGUGAUUUGAGCUCAGGGAUUUUCGGAUAUUUUGAGGGCUUUUAUCGCAACCACAUGGAGGAAGUCAUCAGGUUCUUUGAAAUGCAUCACAAGGGGAAAUAUAAGGUGUAUAACCUUUGCUCAGAAAGGCUGUACGAUGCAUCUCUUUUUGAGGGAAAGGUUGCAUGCUUUCCUUUUGACGAUCAUAAUUGUCCUCCGAUACAACUUGUCAUAUCAUUUUGCCAAAGUGCAUACUCAUGGUUGAAGGAAGACAUAGAAAAUGUGGUGGUUGUCCAUUGCAAAGCUGGGAAAGCAAGAACAGGGUUGAUGAUCUCCAGCCUUCUAGUAUACCUAAAGUUCUUUCCUACUGCGGAGGAGUCCAUUGAAUACUACAAUCAGAAAAGAUGUGUAGAUGGAAAAGGGCUUAUUCUUCCAAGCCAGAUUAGAUAUGUGAAGUACUUUGAGCGUAUCUUAACUUACUUCAAUGGUGAAAAUCAGCCGCCUCGCAGGUGCAUGCUUAGGGGAUUUCGCCUUCAUAGGUGCCCCUAUUGGAUCAGGCCAUCAAUUACUGUGUCCAAUCAUAAUGGUGUUCUUUUUUCUACAAAGAAGCAUCCAAGAACGAAAGAACUAAUGCCAGAAGAUUUCUGGUUUAGUGCACCAAAGAAGGGAAUUAUGGUUUUCGCGUUGCCCGGGGAGCCUGGAUUAGCAGAGGUAGCUGGUGAUUUCAAGAUUCAGUUUCAUGAUCGGCAAGGAGAUUUCUACUGCUGGCUAAAUACAACAAUGAUGGAGAAUAGAGUGACACUGAAUCCAACUGAUUUUGAUGAUUUUGACAAGAGAAAAUUGCCGUCACCAGGAUUCCAGGUUGAGAUCGUUCUGGUAGAUUAUAGUGGUUCACAACCACCAAAACAAAAACCAGCUGAUGGAUCUGCUGAUAAGAAGUCUGAUGCUGAUUCCUCUACGAGCAGCAGUGCCAAAGACAGCAAUGCUGCACCUGUAGAGUCCAAGAAAGAAACUGGAAGUGAUGAUAAGGAUGAUGUUUUUUCUGACAAUGAAGCAGAAGAUGGAUCAUCCAAGGGCAGGAAGGAGGAGGUCUCCAGCAGUGGUCAAGGUGGAGCAAAUGGAGCCAAAGCUUCUGAAACAAGUGUUGCACAACAGGAGCCAUCAGCCGUUGCUAGCGGAAUCGAGAAAAUAACCAUUUCGGGUGAUCAAGGAAUUGCAAGGGCACCUGACGUUAUCUCUCUCAAAACUGAAGCUAGCAGCAAGAGCGGCUCCACCAAAGCACAACCCCCUGCUCUGGAAUCAUCCAGCUUGAGCGAGUUCAAGGCCAUCGCCGCAGACGCUUCGGUCUUCUCAUUUGGAGAUGAAGAUGACUACGAAAGCGAAUAG
rnacentral:rRNA from 1 species